rnacentral:rRNA from 1 species
UACGUAGGGGGCAAGCGGUUAUCCGGAUUUAUUGGGCGUAAAGAGCUCGUAGGCGGCCGUUCGCGUCGGAUGUGAAAGCUCGAGGGCUCAACUCUGAGAUGCCAUUCGAUACGGGACGGCUAGAGGUAGGUAGGGGAGAGUGGAAUUCCUGGUGUAGCGGUGAAAUGCGCAGAUAUCAGGAGGAACACCGGUGGCGAAGGCGGCUCUCUGGGCCUUACCUGACGCUGAGGAGCGAAAGCUGGGGGAGCGAACAGG